UCUCUCUCUCUCUCUCUCUCUCUCUCUGCCCUAAUCAAUUAAGCAAUCAAGGUACCACCUGUUUCGAAAAUCGCCGCCAGGAAUAGGAGAACAAAGGAAAAAGGAGAAGAGAGUCCGGAGAACGACGUGUGUCCAGAAGAGACGGUCUCUUCUGUCUCUUGAUCAAGAGACGUUCCUGAGGAGCACCGAACAAAUCAUGUGAAACAAGAAAAGAUGUUUCAAUCGAAGAUCACAAUGUUUUUUCUGCUGACUUUACUGUCUAGACGGAGAAGGAUUUUGAGAGAAAAGAUGUUUGGUGGAAGAUAUAAUGACAUAGCUUUGACAUGUUACUGGUGGACCAUCACAGUUAUGGGGCUAAUGGCUUUUUCGUUUCUUUGGAUUUCUGAUGUAAGCUAUGAAGAGCAGGAUGAUCCUGAUGGUGGAUUGGAACGCAGAGGCUUAUCAGGUGACUCGUAGUGAGAUUCACUUUACAAUCUGUCUGCAUGUUUCUUCAUGUUCCAUUCGUUGAUACCAUCUGAUCAAACUUCUUAUCAUGACUCUUUGUUCAUUCACACCUUUGAUCAAACUUUUCUUUCAUCUUAUAAAUAAAAUCAUUCAACU